UCUUCAAUAGUUGAUGGGUUUUGGUUUUUUUAGUUCUAGGGAAGGGUUUCAUCUGCAAAUAUUAGAUAGUUGUUUUAGCUGGUUUAGUUUAAUCUGUGUUAUCGACUGGGAUUUAUUUCUAUGUCUGAGAGUGGAAGCAUUGUCGGAGUGUGAUUUCAUGCAUCUCCAUGGUUUCUUGGUCUUAAAGCGUGAUGUUCUUUGCUAAGUGUUUAAUGCCUCGUGCAAGAUUUGGUUGCCUCAUAUGGAUCAGCUUAAGUGCAGAUUCGACCCCUGUGGAGACACUAUUUUCAGAACACCCAGGGACUUAUCUUUGUGGUCAAUAGCAAUGACAGAGAGAGGAUAUCGGAAGCUAGGGACGAGCUUCAUUGGAUGUUGAGUGAGGUUAAACUCAUUUCUUCCUGGUCACUGGUUUGCCUUAAUUCAUGCUACUAAUGGCUGCGAACUAAACAUGGUAGUCUUUCAAUGUGAAACAACUGCGGGACAAGUUGUGCGAUGUGACACUGCUUUUGUUUGCGAAGAUUAGUUGUGUUUUGUGCUUUAGAUUACUUGUUUUGCUUCCUAGAUCAAAUUACACAGGACUUGUCCUGGUGACCUAGAUGAGGUUGUGAAGCAACUGGAGUUGGUCACCGACUCACCGGAUCAGUUGUUGUUGGUUCGAUUGGUAGGACCAUUAUCAUAUACAGGCCCAGCAUUACCAAAAUGCGGGCAGAGGAGAAGAAGAAACAGGCUUGCAGGGUGUUUGUUAGAAAAGGAGCUGACCCCAAUCCGCUGCUCUUGAAGAAAGGUCAACCAUCAAGACUUGUAGGAAGUGGUCGUCGUGACAGCACCGGGGUCGGAUUGAUCGACUCACCGCCUCAGCUACAUUUGUUGACCCUGUAAUUAGGCCCUUGAUCAACACUUUUCCUGCUAAGACGAAGUACGAGUGGAAGCUGCAUUUAGAGGCUUGGAGAUACGGAUCUGGUUUAGACUAUGAGCUAUGAGGAUGGAUAGCCACAAAACAAGAUCUUUGUCAAAUGGGUUGCUGAACAUACUAGGGUGAAGUGAUGCAGAAAACUUGGUGGCACUUCAACAAUGUAUCUUUUUCUUUGUAAUUGUCCAUUUUAGUGGAGGAAUUGUUGGAAAUGCUA